rnacentral:rRNA from 1 species
GCUACUUUGCCGGCGAGCGGCGGACGGGUGAGUAAUGUCUGGGAAACUGCCUGAUGGAGGGGGAUAACUACUGGAAACGGUAGCUAAUACCGCAUAAUGUCGCAAGACCAAAGAGGGGGACCUUCGGGCCUCUUGCCAUCAGAUGUGCCCAGAUGGGAUUAGCUAGUAGGUGGGGUAACGGCUCACCUAGGCGACGAUCCCUAUCUGGUCUGAGAGGAUGACCAGCCACACUGGAACUGACACACGGUCCAGACUCCUACGGGAGGCAGCAGUGGGGAAUAUUGCACAAUGGGCGCAAGCCUGAUGCACCCAUGCCGCGUGUAUGAAGAAGGCCUUCGGGUUGUAAAGUACUUUCAGCGGGGAGGAAGGUGUUGAGGUUAAUAACCUCAGCAUUUGACGUUACCCGCAGAAGAAGCACCGGCUAACUCCGUGCCAGCAGCCGCGGUAAUACGGAGGGUGCAAGCGUUAAUCGGAAUUACUGGGCGUAAAGCGCACGCAGGCGGUCUGU